rnacentral:rRNA from 1 species
GAUGAACGCUGGCGGCGUGCCUAAUACAUGCAAGUCGAGCGAACAGAUAAGGAGCUUGCUCCUUUGAAGUUAGCGGCGGACGGGUGAGUAACACGUGGGUAACCUACCUAUAAGACUGGGAUAACUUCGGGAAACCGGAGCUAAUACCGGAUAACAUUUAGAACCGCAUGGUUCUAAAGUGAAAGAUGGUUUUGCUAUCACUUAUAGAUGGACCCGCGCCGUAUUAGCUAGUUGGUAAGGUAACGGCUUACCAAGGCGACGAUACGUAGCCGACCUGAGAGGGUGAUCGGCCACACUGGAACUGAGACACGGUCCAGACUCCUACGGGAGGCAGCAGUAGGGAAUCUUCCGCAAUGGGCGAAAGCCUGACGGAGCAACGCCGCGUGAGUGAUGAAGGGUUUCGGCUCGUAAAACUCUGUUAUUAGGGAAGAACAAAUGUGUAAGUAACUGUGCACAUCUUGACGGUACCUAAUCAGAAAGCCAAGGCUAACUACGUG